rnacentral:rRNA from 1 species
UAGGGAAUCUUCGGCAAUGGACGAAAGUCUGACCGAGCAACGCCGCGUGAGUGAAGAAGGUUUUCGGAUCGUAAAACUCUGUUGUUAGAGAAGAACAAGGACGUUAGUAACUGAACGUCCCCUGACGGUAUCUAACCAGAAAGCCACGGCUAACUACGUGCCAGCAGCCGCGGUAAUACGUAGGUGGCAAGCGUUGUCCGGAUUUAUUGGGCGUAAAGCGAGCGCAGGCGGUUUCUUAAGUCUGAUGUGAAAGCCCCCGGCUCAACCGGGGAGGGUCAUUGGAAACUGGGAGACUUGAGUGCAGAAGAGGAGAGUGGAAUUACAUGUGUGGCGGUGAAAUGCGUAGAUAUAUGGAGGAACACCAGGGGCGAAGGGGGCUCUCUGGUCUGUAACUGACGCUGAGGAUCGAAAGCGGGGGGAGCAAACAGG